CCUACGGGUGGCAGCAGUGAGGAAUAUUGGUCAAUGGGCGAGAGUCUGAACCAGCCAAGUCGCGUGAGGGAGUACUGCCCUAUGGGUUGUAAACCUCUUUUGUCGGGGAGCAAAAGCCGGACGUGUCCGGCUGGGAGAGUACCCGAAGAAAAAGCAUCGGCUAACUCCGGGCCAGCAGCCGCGGUAAUACGGAGGAUGCGAGCGUUAUCCGGAUUUAUUGGGUUUAAAGGGUGCGCAGGCGGAGUUUUAAGUCAGCGGUCAAAUCGUGGGGCUCAACCCCAUCCAGCCGUUGAAACUGGGGAUCUAGAGUGUGCGAGAGGUAUGCGGAAUGCGUGGUGUAGCGGUGAAAUGCAUGGAUAUCACGCAGAACCCCGAUUGCGAAGGCAGCAUACCGGUGCACAACUGACGCUCAGGCACGAAAGCGUGGGUAUCGAACAGGAUUAGAUACCCCUGUAGUC
rnacentral:rRNA from 1 species